AUUGAACGCUGGCGGCAUGCCUUACACAUGCAAGUCGAACGGCAGCACGGGAGCAAUCCUGGUGGCGAGUGGCGAACGGGUGAGUAAAGCAUCGGAACGUGCCCAGUCGUGGGGGAUAACGUAGCGAAAGCUACGCUAAUACCGCAUACGAUCUGUGGAUGAAAGCGGGGGACCGUAAGGCCUCGCGCGAUUGGAGCGGCCGAUGUCAGAUUAGGUAGUUGGUGGGGUAAAGGCUCACCAAGCCGACGAUCUGUAGCUGGUCUGAGAGGACGACCAGCCACACUGGGACUGAGACACGGCCCAGACUCCUACGGGAGGCAGCAGUGGGGAAUUUUGGACAAUGGGCGCAAGCCUGAUCCAGCAAUGCCGCGUGCAGGAUGAAGGCCUUCGGGUUGUAAACUGCUUUUGUACGGAGCGAAAAGGCUUCCACUAAUACUGGGGGCUCAUGACGGCACCGUAAGAAUAAGCACCGGCUAACUACGUGCCAGCAGCCGCGGUAA
rnacentral:rRNA from 1 species